rnacentral:RNase_P_RNA from 1 species
GCGGAAGGCCGGAUGACCGCGAGCGGUUCGCCGCGCGAGGAAAGUCCGGACUCCAUGAAGCGACGGUGCCGGGUAACGCCCGGCCGGGGCAACCCGAGGGAAAGCGCCACAGAAAUCAGACUACCCCCGCCCGUCGGGGGAAAAGGUGAAAAGGUGGGGUAAGAGCCCACCGCGGACCCGGCAACGGGGACGGCAUGGCAAGCCCCACCGGGAGCAAUGCCGAAUAGGGGCCUCGCGCGGGGGCCGGUCCGGCAACGGAGACCGCCCGCAGGGAUGCUUCAGCCCGAGAGGCCCGGGUUGGCAGCUUGAUCCCGCCGGUAACGGCGGGGCCAGAGGAAUGGUCAUCGAGGGGGCGAGAGCCCCGGAACAGAAUCCGGCUUACAGGCCUUCCGCGCAU